UACGUAGGGUGCGAGCGUUAAUCGGAAUUACUGGGCGUAAAGCGUGCGUAGGCGGUUGCUGAAGUCCGUUGUGAAAGCCCCGGGCUUAACCUGGGAAUGGCAGUGGAAACUAGGCGACUUGAAUCUGGCAGAGGGGGGUGGAAUGCCACGUGUAGCAGUGAAAUGCGUAGAGAUGUGGCGGAACACCGAUGGCGAAGGCAGCCCCCUGGGCUGAGAUUGACGCUCAGGCACGAAAGCGUGGGGAGCAAACAGG
rnacentral:rRNA from 1 species